GGUCUCUUCCUAUCAUCUCUUCUUCUACGAUCACUUCUUGAAGAACUUCUGGAUCUUGAACGACCAUCGCUUGAGCUGGAAGUACUGGAAUAUGAUGAGCUUCUUCUCUUACGAGU
rnacentral:sRNA from 1 species